AUUGAACGCUGGCGGCAGGCCUAACACAUGCAAGUCGAACGAGUGGCGGACGGGUGAGUAAUGUCUGGGAAACUACCCGAUGGAGGGGGAUAACUACUGGAAACGGUAGCUAAUACCGCAUACCAUCGGAUGUGCCCAGAUGGGAUGAGCUAGUAGGUGGGGUAAAGGCUCACCUAGGCGACGAUCCCUAGAUGGUCUGAGAGGAUGACCAGUGCCACUGGAACUUAGACACGGUCCAGACUCCUACGUGAGUCAGCAGUGGUGAAUGUUGCACAAUGGGCGCGAGCCUGAUGCAGCCAUGCCGCGUGUAUGAAGAAGGCCUUCGGGUUGUGAAGUACUUUCAGCGGGGAGGCGUUACCCGCAGAAGAAGCACCGGCUAACUCCGUGCCAGCAGCCGCGGUAAUAC
rnacentral:rRNA from 1 species